rnacentral:tRNA from 1 species
GCCGUCGUAGCUCAGCAGGACGGAGCAGCAGCUUCCGAAGCUGAAGGUCCCCCGGUUCGAGUCCGGGCGGCGGCA